UUUCCGUAGGUGAACCUGCGGAAGGAUCAUUCAUACUAAGUGUUUUAUGGCACUUUUUUAAAUCCAUAUCCACCUUGUGUGCAAUGUCAGGGUUGGUCUCUUUUGAUCAGCCCCAACCAUCAACUAUUAUCUCAACUCUUUGUCUGAAAAAUAUUAUAAAUAAAACAAUUCAAAAUACAACUUUCAACAACGGAUCUCUUGGCUCUC
rnacentral:misc_RNA from 1 species